GGUUCGAUGGCGUAGUUGGUUAUCGCAUCUGUCUAACAUGGUAAAGCCAUUUGCAUGCACAGAAGGUCCCCAGUUCGAGCCUGGGUCGAAUCA